CUCCUCCUUUGUAGCAGGACAGAUAUCUGUAGAUGCUACAAGCAGCAAGAAGGCUUUUGCAGGACCCUGAACUUAUCAGGAAGAAGAUAAUACCAGAAGCUAGAAGAUGUGUAAUGGGACUGAGGCAUGAGAUUUCAGGAAGAGAAUGAAUGGUCUCCUAUUAGGGCAAUUGAAUACUGCUCUGGAGAAUUGGAUACUAUCCCUCCCUAAGCCACAGACUUCUUGUGUGAUGCUGGGCUGCGGCACAUUCAUAAACUAUGGACUGCCCUUCUGAG